rnacentral:rRNA from 1 species
AGGAUUAACGCUGGCGACGUGCCUAACACAUGCAAGUCGAACGAGGUAGCAAUACCUAGUGGCAGACGGGUGAGUAACGCGUGGUCAACCUACCGUUGAGUGGGGGAUAACUAGCCGAAAGGUUAGCUAAUACCGCAUACGAGUUUCGGGGGCAUCCCUGAUUCUUAAAAGGAGCAAUCCGCUCGAUGACGGGACCGCGUCCCAUUAGCUAGAUGGUGGGGUAACGGCCUACCAUGGCACCGAUGGGUAGCUGGUUUGAGAGAGCGACCAGCCACACUGGGACUGAGGGAAACGGCCCAGACUCCUACGGGAGGCAGCAGUGAGGAAUUUUCCGCAAUGGGCGAAAGCCUGACGGAGCGACGCCGCGUGUGGGAAGAAGGCCUUCGGGUCGUAAACCACUGUCGAAGGGGACGAUAAUGACGGUACCCUUGGAGGAAGCCCGGCUAACUACGUGCCAGCAGCCGC